UACGUAGGGGGCUAGCGUUGUCCGGAAUCAUUGGGCGUAAAGAGCGUGUAGGCGGCCCGGUAAGUCCGCUGUAAAAGUCAAAGGCUCAACCUUUGAAUGUCAGUGGAUACUGCCGGGCUAGAGUCCGGAAGAGGGCGAGUGGAACUCCUGGUGUAGCGGUGGAAUGCGCAGAUAUCAGGAAGAACACCAACGGCGAAGGCAGCUCGCUGGGACGGUACUGACGCUGGAGACGCGAAAGCGUGGGGAGCGAACAGG
rnacentral:rRNA from 1 species